UGCCUCUUCCCAUUCUAAACGGCGCCGUUUGGGAGCCCUACGAUUCUUGUUUUUUUUUCCUGUUCUGAAAGGAAUCUUGAACCCAGAUAAACUUAAUAUUUUUUGGCAGCCAUUCAAAUUAUUGGUGGCUUCAAAUUCACCUCUUACCAACAUAUACACCUGUAAUCUUUAUAGUUUCUGCAUCAGCCCAUAUGAUAUGAUGUAUCUGAAUCUGGUGUUUUCAAAAGGUGAUUAGGAGGGCUGGAGGAGAUUUCUAGACUUUCCAAAUAUCAGAGCUUUUGAUUUCCUUUCUUAGCUCAUAAAUAUUCCAAGAUCCCAAUUUCAGUUAGCGCAUCGCUUCAUUGAUAUGGUUCAGACAUGUUAGCAGUGUAUCCCUCGGGAACUAUCAACAAAUUCCACAUUCCUUUUAGCUUCAAUGCCCCUUCGCGCGGAUACAGAACCACUACCUUUGGUCAUUUGAUAAGUAGUUGUUCUGUCUUCUCGGAAUCAAGAGUUCCUUGGAGCAAUGUAGAGUGUUACCACUCAUCCUUUUCUCCACCAGGCCAAGUUAAAGGAAUUGGAUGGUUAGUGAUUUUUUUAAGUCUGUGUUAUUCAUUCAUAUAGAGUAGCUUCCGAGCAUUUUUUGUAAUUUAUUUCGACUUCAUCAAGUUUUGUCGUUCACGCAACAACUCGGAUGAAGAGUACCGUUCGUCACGCAACAUAGCUAUAAGUCUUUUAAGACGUUACAGGACCGUGAUUGAACGCGGUCAAGGCGAAACCUUAAAAGGAUUCAUUUCUGUUGGUAUGAACGCAUAUGCUCUCGGUUGCACGGAUGAAGAUUUGAGAAAAGAACUUAUGGCUAUGAAAGAAUCGGGUUUAGAGAUCGAUAGAAUGGAGAGUUACCACGGAAGCACACAAACUAAGUCCAAGAUUUUGAUGUCCGAGGUGGAUGAAUGCAUAUUGUGGCUUAGCAUUGUUUUCAUCACAAUCUUGUGUACGCCGCAACCCACGGUCGUCAGAUGGUCAUCGACUCCUUCGGUUUCAGAUGAAGUUCUAAAAAAAUGGAGAGGCUUUUGUCCUCCGAUGAUGGUGCGACGGUCAAGAGAGAAAAGAAGCGGUUAGAGUCUCGGGAUGAAAUAUCCAGUGGUGGUUAGCAAGGAGUCGGAUGAGAUCUCGGUUUAUCCGAUGUAUCUCUCCGUGGUUAGAAUAUCCAGCGUUACUGCCGAUCUUUCUCCGGUGGAACCGGUGAGACAAGAUGAAGGUAGUGCGUAGACACGUGUUGAUAGACUUGGACAGUGUCGGUCACUAUGUAUUGGGCUUUAGGCCCGGAUGUAUGUUUGUUCGGCCCGCUGGGGUUUGUGUAAGAAAAUGGGCUUGGGCCGUUUUUUAAAAUAAAACAUUGACGACAAAAAAAAAAAAAAUCAGGAAAGAAUUUGAUUUCUCUCUCUA